rnacentral:ncRNA from 1 species
UCUUCCAAACGGAAAUCGGUGAAAAGGGAAUCAGGUCAGAAUCCUGAGCGAUCCGGUCACUGUAUCGAGGGAGCUGUCUGUAAAAAUCCAUUGUAUGUCCGCAAGCAUAUGAGAAGGAACAGAACAGCGAUGAUCUCCAAGUCAGGAAACCUGCUUAAACU